CGGAUUGGAGGCUGAAACCCGCCUCCAUGAAGUUGGAUUCGCUAGUAAUCGCGCAUCAGCCAUGGCGCGGUGAAUACGUUCCCGGGCCUUGUACACACCGCCCGUCAAGCCAUGGGAGCCGGGGGUGCCUGAAGUUCGUGACCGCAAGGAGCGACCUAGGGCAAAACUGGUGACUGGGGCUAAGUCGUAACAAGGUAUC
rnacentral:rRNA from 1 species